GGUUUGUGGCUCAGAGGUAGACCACUUGCCUAGCAUGCGUGAGGCACUGGGUUUGAUUCUCAGCACCA
rnacentral:tRNA from 1 species